CGUCAGCCAAUUAAGCUGACUGUGCUCUUUUCCCCGUGGGCUGAAAGUGCAGUGGCUGUAAACUGCAGUCUAAUUGGUAUGCCUGUGCCCUGUUGCUUAUUUAGGUGACCCUAAGUCACCCUGGAGACUGGC